UACGAAGGGGGCUAGCGUUGUUCGGAAUAACUGGGCGUAAAGCGCACGUAGGCGGCCUUGUAAGUUGGGGGAGAGAGCACAGGGCUCAACCCUGGAACUGCCUCCGAUACGGCAAGUCUCGAGUCCGGGAGAGGUGAGUGGAAUUCAUAGGGUAGAGGUGAAAUUCGUAGAUAUUAGGAAGAACACCAGUGAGGAAGGCGGCUCGCUGGCCCGGUACCGUCGGUGAGGUGCGAAAGCGUGGGGAGCAGACAGG
rnacentral:rRNA from 1 species